rnacentral:rRNA from 1 species
CAGGCCUAACACAUGCAAGUCGAGGGGUAACGAUGUCUUCGGACAGGCGACGACCGGCGCACGGGGGAGUAUCGCGUUUUUAACCUACCUUUAACUGGAGAAUAGCCCGAAGAAAUUCGGAUUAAUACUCCAUAAUACUAUGAUCUGGCAUCUUUUUAUAGUUAAAGCUCCGGCGGUUAAAGAUGGACAUGCGUAACAUUAGUUUUUUGGUGAGGUAACGGCUCACCAAGACUACGAUGUUUAGGGGGUCUGAGAGGAUGGUCCCCCACACUGGUACUGAGACACGGACCAGACUCCUACGGGAGGCAGCAGUGAGGAAUAUUGGUCAAUGGGCGAAAGCCUGAACCAGCCAUGCCGCGUGAAGGAUGACAGCGCUAUGCGUUUUAAACUUUUUUUUUACAGGAAGAAACACUUUUACGUGUAGAAGCUUGACGGUACUGUACGAAUAAGCAUCGGCUAACUCCGUGCCAGCAGCCGCGGUAAUACGGAGGAUGCAAGCGUUAUCCGGAUUUAUUGGGUUUAAAGGGUACGUAGGCGGAAAAUUAAGUCAGUAGUGAAAUCCCGCAGCUUAACUGUGGAACUGUUAUUGAUACUGGUUUUUUUGAAUUUAGUUGAGGUAGGCGGAAUGUGUAAUGUAGCGGGGAAAUGCUUAGAUAUUACACAGAACACCGAUUGCGAAGGCAGCUUACUAAGCUAUGAUUGACGCUGAGGUACGAAAGCGUGGGGAGCGAACAGGGUUAGAUACCCUGGUAGUCCACGCCGUAAACGAUGAUCACUCGUUUUUGGCAAUAAACAGUCAGCGACUGAGCGAAAGCAUUAAGUGAUCCACCUGGGGAGUACGCUCGCAAGAGUGAAACUCAAAGGAAUUGACGGGGGCCCGCACAAGCGGAGGAACAUGUG